rnacentral:sRNA from 1 species
UCCUAGCCCUGAUGGAAGCGGCAUCCUUUUUUGCCGGUCCCGAAGCUUCGGGAGGCAUAAAAGAUAUAGCGGACAGCAGGAACUAGC